AAUGAACGCUGGCGGCGUGCUUUACACAUGCAAGUUGAGCGAGGCCACCCGCAAGGGUGAGUCGAGCGGCGAACGGGUGAGUAACGCGUGGAUGACCUGCCCUUUAGUGGGGAAUAACCCGGGGAAACUCGGGCUAAUACCGCAUAAGACCGAGAGGUGAAAGCGGGGUCGCAAGAUCUCGUGCUAAUGGAGGGGUCCGCGUUCGAUUAGCUAGUUGGUAGGGUAAUGGCCUACCAAGGCGACGANCGAUAGCCGGCCUGAGAGGGUGAUCGGCCACACUGGAACUGAGACACGGUCCAGACUCCUACGGGAGGCAGCAGUGGGGAAUCUUGCGCAAUGGGCGAAAGCCUGACGCAGCGACGCCGCGUGAGGGAUGACGGCCUCGGUUGUAA
rnacentral:rRNA from 1 species